CCUGGUCCUCCGUGAGCACCACGGCAUCUCCAAGGGGCCCCACCGCCCGCUCCCAGCUGGCGGUCAGGGUGCAGGGCACAGGGAGCACCUGCGGCUGCAUUGCAGCAGCGGCCGGUGGGGGCACAAAAGGUCCAAAUAAAGUUGCGUCGGGUGUCGGAAGCACCGUCGGCAUCAAUGAAGAGAUUCUCUCUGUGGGGAAAUGCCCAAAUGGGCGCUGGGUGAGAUGUGGGGCACUGGGACCACCUGGAGAGCCGCAGUGCCAGGAGCAGGAAGAGCCUGCUGCCUUACCUGCCAUGGCAGCUCGAGAGUGGCGCUGGGGGGUUCCGUGAGCGCUGGGGUCAGCCCCUCUGCCCUGAGCUCACAAGGACUCUCUGUGACGCUGUCACAGGCAUUGCUCUGUGCCUGCCCCAUCACCAACACUCGCUGUGGCUGCUCAGUGUGGCCUUCUGUUUCAAGGGAGACGAUAAACAGGAGGGAAAUAAAAUGGUUACACGUUGAGACGGUGAUGGGACAAAGGGGAAUGGUUUUCAUAGAAACAUAGAAUCGCUAAGGUUGGAAAAGACCCACAGGAUCAUCCAGUCCAACCAUUCGCCCUUCACCAAUGGUUCCCGCUAAACCAUGUCCCUCAACACAGCAUCCAAACGCUCUUUGAACACCACCAGGCUCGGUGACUCCACCACC
ensembl:lncRNA